rnacentral:rRNA from 1 species
UAGGGAAUCUUCGGCAAUGGACGAAAGUCUGACCGAGCAACGCCGCGUGAGUGAAGAAGGUUUUCGGAUCGUAAAACUCUGUUGUUAGAGAAGAACAAGGACGUUAGUAACUGAACGUCCCCUGACGGUAUCUAACCAGAAAGCCACGGCUAACUACGUGCCAGCAGCCGCGGUAAUACGUAGGUGGCAAGCGUUGUCCGGAUUUAUUGGGCGUAAAGCGAGCGCAGGCGGUUUCUUAAGUCUGAUGUGAAAGCCCCCGGCUCAACCGGGGAGGGUCAUUGGAAACUGGGAGACUUGAGUGCAGAAGAGGAAAGUGGAAUUCCAUGUGUAGCGGUGAAAUGCGUAGAUAUAUGGAGGAUCACCAGUGGCGAAGGCGGCUCUCUGGUCUGUAACUGACGCUGAGGCUCGAAAGCGUGGGGAGCAAACAGG